CUUAAGAGUCAUUCUGUGUUCCCAGGAGGAGAGAAUUAUAGCAAAAAUGUCAGAGAUAGCUGCGUAAGUACUCAAUAAUAUUUCACAUUAACAUUUUACGUAAAAGAUAAAUUUACAUCUGAAGAAUAAACAGAGGAAUAAAUAUAAAUAUUUAAGAUAUAUCUUACUUUGCACACAUAUGGAAGCUUAAACUAUAAGCUAAUGCAGAUUCUAGACGAAAAAAAUACACAAAUAAACUUUUUUUUUACAACAAUGCAACUACGUCUAAGAUAUGACUAAUAUACUGACAUUUUAUAAUCCUAGGAACUUGUCUGGCUUGGAAGAAAAAAAACCUUUCAUAAUCGCUCCAUCAUAAAAAAUAAAAGUAUGCUUGAUUUCUAUAAUUUGAACGUUUAUCGGAAGUCUAGUUUCCUAAUAAAGUGUAAACUGUGUUAUUCGAUACACUGACCAGAAAAACAUGUAUUAAGCAGAAGCGUCGGAAUACUCAGGCCUUGAAGUCCUAAAAAUUUGGAGUCAGUUUCGAGCACGUAGAAUAGUUUAAGAGGUCUUUUCUGCAAUGAUAGGUGUAUUUUUUGGGACAGAAAAAUGUGUCAGUUAAAGCAGGAUGUUGGAAUACUAAGGUGUCGGAUUAGGCAUAUUACACUAUAUAAACCUAUGAUCAUAAUUUCGUUUGAUUUUAAAAAAUAGGAUAAAAAAUAAUUGACCUAUCCACAAGUACCUAUGUAUGCCGAAAAGCAAAUCAGCAUGUAUUUAAUUAUAAUCUUAUACAUUAUAUUCAAAUAUCAGCCGGAAAAUAGAACAUUCAAGACUUUAACAGAUGAGUCAAAAACGCAGUUUCAAUAAUUUCCCAAAUAAAGAAAUUAAAGUGUACCUUUUUUUUAUUGUUCAUUAGAACGCCGACAACUUUCCCGCCUAUUGACAGGGGGCAUAAGCAUGUUGAAUCUGGUAAGAAACCGUUACGAUAGAAUAUAAUAUAAUUUGUAGUUUGACUUUGUACAAAAAGUUCUAGUACAAAUUCACUUAUAACUUGUACAAUAAUUUAUAGUUUGGAUACAAUCAGAGGCACUUCCAAAUGUAAAGGUAAAAAGCAAAAGAUGUUGUGCAAUUUCCGACGACAUAAUUCACUCACAUGCUCAAACAAAUAAAUUAAUAAACAACUAUUUAUGUAUUUUGUAAAGAAGGUUUUUUAUGUGGUCUUUUCAUACAAAUUCCAUAGUGUGAAUUAAUGUCUUUUUUUAUAACAAAAUCAUUACUAUAUAGAUUAUUGUUUAAGUUAAGUUAUUUAUAUUCAAAUUUUGUACAAAGUUAUUUGUACAAGCACGUUUUGUACAAAGUCAAAUUACGUACAAAAUGAUACAUUUGUAACUUGCACACAACAUAUAUACCAGUAUCUCUUGCCUGACUAUUUACAUUCACCAGGAAAACCUACCAGUGCUUGUUGUCAGUUUCACCAAAAAAUACAAAUCCGUUUAAUGCUAGGAUAUCAACACGAGUAUGUCGGUUAAUCUAUAAUGUGUCAGUUUCCCUUCAAGACGAAUUUUUAUUUUGAAACCGUUACAUAAGAAACAAAUAAGUACUAAAUAGAAAAAGUGUAUGUCAAAAACUAAUUAAAUGUAAAUACAACGUGUCGUAUAGCAUUUUAUAUUCAUUGAAGCAUUGAGUAGUAAUAAACUUGAAAGCAAAGCCUCCAUCACGAUUCUUAUUCUUUAUGUUAUAUAAAAACAAACAAAACUGUGGUUUUCUUUCGGAUACCACUGUUUUGUGGGAAUAACCUUCAUCAGGCAAGCUCAAGAAGUGCCAAAUGUUUGAGGAAAAAAAGAGGAAAAAUUCGUUUGCACACAGUUUAAGUCUGUCUGACGUCAUAUUCCAGAACGCAGUAAGGAAUAAGAAGUAAAUUUACAAAAAUACUGAACUCCGAGGAAAAUUAAAAUUCAAAACGGAAAGUCCCUUACCAACUGGCAAAAUCAAAAGCUCAAUACAACUGUCAUAUGCCUAACUUGGUGAAGGCAUUUUCUUGUGUAGAAAAAGGUGGAUUGUACCUAGUUUUAUAGCUAGAUAAACCUUUCACUUGUAUGACAGUCGUAUCAAAUUCCAUUAUACUGACAGUGGUGCAUGAACAAGGAGUAAGGAUGAGUUUUGUGUGACGGGGUCACCAAGAAAUAAUUUCACAUUACCGCUCACUCACCAUACGAACAUGAUAUAUAAAGAGUCUAGGUACAUAAUAUAUAGGUACAUUAUAUACAAAUCAUAUGAUCAAAUGUGUUUAUAUUCUAUUAUGUUUUCAAUAGAUUGCUGAGUACAGGACACUAUUAUAAUAGUUGGCGAAAUUAAAAGAUUUCACAGUAAAAUCCUGUAAAUAGAUUCGUGCGAAUAUUUCCAUGACAAAAACAUGGGUUCUUUUCAAUGUCUCCAAUUCAAAUAUGCCUCUAUUAAAAAUUUAAUGAAUAUUUCUUAAACAAGAGAUAGAAUAUACCAAAGGUAUAAUCAAAUAAAAAAACCAAAAACCAAAAACCAAAAAGACAAACCGAACACUACACAGAAAAAUAAAGACUGAGUUUUAAAAUAAAAAUGAAUGAAAAUUUAUGUUUUUUAGAAAAACACACAACUUGUAGAAAAAACUAACAUGCAUUUUCUAUAUCAGUUAUUUUAUAUUUACUUAAGAACAACCUAAGAAGCGGCGUUCGAAGAGCAAGAAACUUCCACAGAUCGAACAUUGUAAGUAAUCAAUAACUAGAAACUAGUGAUUUGAGCAAUUACAGAGCUCGAUUAAACAAUGAAGAAGCUGAAUCUCAUAUAUGAACUUCAUAUAACAUUGUAAUAUAUAUUUAAUUGUGAAUUUUUCAUUAAUAAAUACUGUUUAUACUAAAUAAGCCUCACCAUAGAUAUCAGACUCACCAGUGAUGCUCGAAAACAAAAAGUUAAAAUGGCCGAAUACGAAGUUGAAAAGAAUUCAUAACCCAAAGUUUCGAAUGGUUUUGCCAUAUAGAACCAAAAGCAAGUAAAUUGUAACGCAAAUUAGUAAUACUCAGGUUUUAUUUUAUCCUAAAUAUUUAAUACCCACAGAAUGUAAAUAUUUUACAGAUGUUCUACACCAUCAAUUCAUUUGAAAGGUGUUUUUACGUUAGGGAGCUAAUGCGGGGUUAACACAUUGCCGAUUAUUGCUCCCGUUAGUGAUCAGACAGCGAUACGACACGAAAAUUGAAAAAGUCGGAUUACUAUCCUCAAUUAUCUGGAACGUCCUAGCAUUGUCUAAACGCAGUCGUUUAAGAUGAGACAAGAGACCACAAAUGACAAAGAAAUUAACGACUAAAGGUCACAGUGAGACGUUUAACAAUGAACAAAGUCCAUUACCAGUACAAAUUACAGAUUGCGUGUAUUAUUAUACUAUUAUCAAAAAUGGUUGACCCAAUUUACUAUCUAUUUAGCCAUUUGAUCUCAAAUCUUCCAUAUGUUUGUAGAUGAUAGUGCAGAAAUUUCCUUUAGCGUUUUUUUUUUUUUUUUUUCAAAUAAAGACUUGAAUAUCAUUGCAAAAAAGCAACACAAAAACAACUCUCGGGAAAGGUAUGCCCGUAGAAAUUGUGAAAUCUAAACUGUGCGAAAAUAAACAACUAUUUUUAUACAGUAGCAUAUUGUGUGCCAUUACACAACUGUCCCACGUUCGGAGAAGAUUUAUAGCUCUCGCAAACACGUUUAUCUCCGCUACAUUUUCUUUUGAGUCUGUCAUUCAGUGCCUAUCGUUGGAAUAUUUGUCUUUUUGAUAUUAUUUAAACAUAAAUCUGCCCUGUUUGCUUUCUCUUAUGAAUUGUUGAAUCUUUUGUCAUGUCAAAGCUUUCUAAAUAAAAUUGAGAGCGGAAAUGGAAAUGGGGAAUGUGUCAAAGAGAUAACCAACCAACUAAAGAGCAGAAAACAGCCGAAGACAAACAAUGGGUCUUCAAUACAGCUGAAAAAUCCCUCGCCCAGAGGCGUGCUUCAGCUGGCCUCGAAACAAAAACGUGCACUAGUUCGGUGAUAAUGGACGUCAUACACAACUCCGAAAUAUAUAAAAUAUGAUAAGAGAAACUGAAAUUUAAAAGCAUACAAGAUUAACAAAGGACAGAGGCUCCUGACUUUGCUUACUACAGCACUUUGGAAUUUACCCAUUUUUUUUUUCAAGGGCUUGUAUACUUAUAUAAAGUAGUUUCCUUCAUCUUCUUUUCCAUUGGUUGAGGAACCGCAUACUCUUGCAGUCUCAAUAUUACCUGAUGAAUCGUAUUUACAUUUUAUCUGUUGCAAAAGAGAGGCGAGAGAUUUGAAAACCAACUGACAAUACAAUGGCAUAUUUAUAACGGAAAACUAACGAAAGACAAACACUAGUUUACAACACAUAGAAAAGAAAACUAAAAACUGACAAAUAUAAUCCCACCAAAAACCGCGAAUAAACCGUUGGAGCAGAGGACAGAAAUAAGAUAUAAAUACAAUGAAUAUUAGUGGUGCAAGGGAGACAACUACAUUUAGUUAAAUAUUUUUUUUUUUUACCAAAGCUGACUCGCAUCUUUGAAUGUUAUUCUAUUUGUUUGCUUUGACGCCGGCACUAAGGCAUCUAUAACACUCUAAAUCAAAUAAUAUCUUCAGCAGACGUCAACCGUAUAUGAUACUUGACAUCAACAUCAAUAUACAAUUUCAUAUAUUGAAAAAAUAAUCAACAGCCAAACAUAUGCACCGCUCUUGAUUUCGAGAAAAAAUGUAAUGUAUAACAUGGGUAUAGCAACAUGGCCAUCCUAAGACUUCUUCCGUCUGAAACUAAAAUACUUUCUUAAGUGAACAUAAACUUGUUUAUUCGAAAUGUAAAAUUCCCAGCCGACACCAGGUCGAUAUGACGUAAAAGUUUUACUGCGCGAUAUGAAUGUAGGCAAACCGAUGGGAAAAUGUUGACCCCUAAUGACUUAUCGAAAAUACCGACUACGUCUUUUGAAUGCACAUGGUCUCAAUUACAAAAAGUUAAGUAACAGUAUACACGGUCUAUACAUGAUGAAUAAGUUUGAUUUUACAUAUAUGUUCUUCACGAGCUUCACAAACAAUAAGUUUGAAGUGAGCUGCAUUUAUUAUACCAUAUCUCCAUGGUUGGGCGAGAUGUAACCGUUAAACAACCUGAAAUAUUAUCUCCUUAUUUGGGUCAGCUGAUAUGUUGCUCAUUACUCGGAUGUGUUGCUAUGGAGACAAAACGCUCGUACUACAUUCUAAUACUGCUAUCCAUAAUGAUUGUUUUUACAACCAAUGGUUUCAUGCCACUGCUAGUGGAGGCUUCCUUUCCGGGGGUAUUACCAGCCCAGUGGUCAACACUUAUAUCUUGACAUGAAUUAUCAUUGAUAUGGUAAUAUUCAUCAAUGAUCUGUUUAAAUAACACUGCAUUUUUGUAAUUGCGAAGUCUAUCUACCCCAGAAAAGAUUACCUAAAUUGGAUUAAGCAUUAGUGACUCUGUGCUUAUACAUCCUGUUUUGUGUUAUAGUGUGCUAUGGUAUUUUUUUUAUCCUUAUCUUUCACUUUUGCUAAUGUGCUUUGCCUAUAUACCGUUUUGUUUUUCUUUGUUACUGUACAUAUUUGUUUGUUUCAUAAUGAUUAUGAUUAAAACACAAUAUUGACCGCUGUAUCCCUAUUUUUGACAUUUUUAGCUAUUGUGUCUGUCUGUUUUGUUCACACGUCUUUGUCAAUAUAAUGGAAUUUUAAGCGACUGUCAUACAAGGGAGAGGUUAGCUAGCUAUAAAACCGGUUUUAAUCCACCAUUUUCUACAAAAGAAAAUGCCUGUACCAAGUCAGGAAUAUGACAGUUAUUAUCCAUUCGUUUGAUGUGUUUGAGCUUUUGAUUUUGCAAAUCGAUUACAGACCAUACAUUUUGAUUUUUCCUUGGAGUUCGGUAUUUUUUUUUUUUUACCUUUUUCUUCAACAUCGUACUUUUUUGGCCUUUUUAAAGUGCGUCUGUAUUACUUGAUUUUAAUCCGGUUCAUAUUGCUCAAGAUUGAGUUGUUUGUGUUUUGUAUAAUGUUGUUUGUCUUUUGGUCGCUAUUCUUAUUUUGCCAUGAAAUUGCUAGUUUGUUUUAAAACUUAUGAGUUUGAAUAUUUUUUGUAUCAUUCGCCUCUUUUCAAAGAGAUAUACAUAAAAUUUAAGAUAACCAAGAACGAAUUACAAACGAUCCAAAUGACCUGACUUAUCCUGCACCAAGUCAGGAAUAUGGCAGUUGAUAUCUAAUAGUUCGUUUCUAUGUAUGUUGCAUUUCAGUGGUCUGUUGUUUGGUUGGUUCCCUUUUGUAGGUAAUGUGUUUCCCUCGGUUUUAGUUUGUAACCCGGAUUUGUUUUCUCUCAAUCGAUUUUUAACUUUUGAACAGCGAUAUUCUACUGUUGCCUUUAUUUAUCAUUUGUUUAAAGUUUCGUUAGAUCUGUUUUAUUGUGUUUUAGAUAAAACCUUUAAGCCUCCAGAAAGAGAUUACAGAGAUACUGAAUUAGAAAAAUUUUCAACUUUUAUCAGUUCGUAUACAG
rnacentral:lncRNA from 1 species